rnacentral:rRNA from 1 species
UUAGUAGCUGCUUGUGCAGUUGAUGCACACAGUUUUGUAUUUCCAGUUGCCUACGGUGUGCUGGAGACAGAGUCUAAGGAGAGCUGGACUUGGUUUUUGCAUUAUCUGCGCCGGGCUAUUGCACAUCCCAAUGGGUUGGUCAUUCAUACAGAUGCCUGCAAAGGUUUAGAAGUGGCCGUGGACAAUGUGUUCCCUGGAGUAGAGCAUAGGGAAUGCAUGCGUCACCUUGCUGCAAAUUUCAUGAAGAAAUUCAAAGGAAAGGUGUAUACCGACAAUUUAUGGCCAGUCUUUGACUUGCAGUGUGAAGAAGCACAACUACCACUUGAGGCAGUUAUACAUGAAUCCCAAAGUGAAAGAAUACUUGGAAACACACCACUCCAAGUUAUGGCCCAGAAGCCAAUUCAGUGA